CUUAUAUAAUAUUUUUUAUAAAUUCAUGUUAGAAUGAGAUUGCUGGUUCGAGUGGUAAGGAGUUAGUUUGUUGGAGGUCUUGAGUUUGAAUCCCAGAGUGAAAGUGGGAGAUAAUUUUUGGCGUCGGCUGUUGAUAGUAGUUCGGUGGUAGUGGGAUUCUAAGAUAGUUGGGUUGUUAGUGGAUGUAGUGGGAUUUUGCUCAAAUCCUCUUUAAUUUUAUUUUAUUUUAAUUUCUUUUUCUUUUUCUCUCUCUUCCCAAAAGUCUAAUGUUAGUUUUCUCUUUUCUCUACUACUCCUCUUUAUUUUUCUGCAAUUCUGUCUAUAAUCUUUUGUCG
rnacentral:lncRNA from 1 species